GCGGGCGUAGCUCAGGGGUAGAGCACGACCUUGCCAAGGUCGGGGUCGGGCGUUCGAAUCGCCUCGCCCGCUCCA
rnacentral:tRNA from 6 species